UAUGUUUGCUUCUUCUCCUCCUUGGGUCAUCAGACAUCUUCGCCAUGCUCUGGGUCCCCAUUUUGAGCCUUCUGAUCAUGUGGUGCACAGGUUCAGACUCUCAGCCUGUGAUGUCUCAGCCACCAUCAGCAUCAGUGUCAUCGGGGAACACAAUGAGACUCUCCUGUGUCAUGAGCAGUGGAUUCCAAAUCAGUAGCUAUAAUGUGUACUGGUACCAGCAGAAGCCCGGGAAUCCCCCAAGAUACCUCUUACGGUAUUAUUCAGAUUCUGACAAGCACCAGGGUUCCGGGGUCCCCUCUCGAUUCUCUGGGUCCAAAGACACCUCCAGCAACACAGGCUAUUUAACUAUUGGGGGAGCCUUGACCGAAGAUGAGGCUGAUUAUUACUGUGCAGUCUGGCACAGCAAUGCUUGUCACAGUGAUAGAAUCAGAUAA